GACGAACGCUGGCGGCGUGCCUAAUACAUGCCAGUUGAGCGCUGAAGGUUGGUACUUGUUCCAACUGGAUGAGCAGCGAACGGGUGAGUAACGCGUGGGGAAUCUGCCUUUGAGCGGGGGACAACAUUUGGAAACGAAUGCUAAUACCGCAUAAAAACUUUAAACACAAGUUUUAAGUUUGAAAGAUGCAAUUGCAUCACUCAAAGAUGAUCCCGCGUUGUAUUAGCUAGUUGGUGAGGUAAAGGCUCACCAAGGCGAUGAUACAUAGCCGACCUGAGAGGGUGAUCGGCCACAUUGGGACUGAGACACGGCCCAAACUCCUACGGGAGGCAGCAGGAGGGAAUCUUCGGCAAUGGACGAAAGUCUGACCGAGCAACGCCGCGUGAGUGAAGAAGGGUUUCGGAUCGUAAAACUCUGUUGGUAGAGAAGAACGUUGGUGAGAGUGGAAAGCUCAUCAAGUGACGGUAACUACUCAGAAAGGGACGGCUAACUACGUG
rnacentral:rRNA from 1 species